rnacentral:rRNA from 1 species
GAACGCUGGCGGCAUGCCUUACACAUGCAAGUCGAACGGCAGCACGGGAGCAAUCCUGGUGGCGAGUGGCGAACGGGUGAGUAAUAUAUCGGAACGUGCCCGGUCGUGGGGGAUAACGUAGCGAAAGCUACGCUAAUACCGCAUACGAUCUACGGAUGAAANCGGGGGAUCGCAAGACCUCGCGCGAUUGGAGCGGCCGAUAUCAGAUUAGGUAGUUGGUGAGGUAAAGGCUCACCAAGCCGACGAUCUGUAGCUGGUCUGAGAGGACGACCAGCCACACUGGGACUGAGACACGGCCCAGACUCCUACGGGGGGCAGCAGUGGGGAAUUUUGGACAAUGGGCGCAAGCCUGAUCCAGCAAUGCCGCGUGCAGGAUGAAGGCCUUCGGGUUGUAAACUGCUUUGUACGGAACGAAACGGUGAGCUCUAAUACAGUUUGCUAAUGACGGUACCGUAAGAAUAAGCACCGGCUAACUACGUG